GUUAUCUCCCUUGUCAGUGAACGAACGAAUGUACGAACUGGAUCAGUAUGUAAUUGGCCCAAAGAGGUAAAUUUGUUGUGUUUUUUGUAUUGUGCGGAUAUUGUGCUUGAUUCAUAUGUCAUUCGAAUAUAUUUUCUGUUUAUUUUGACUGUUUUAAUAAGGUUGUUUUCAUUUUUUUCUUUGUAGUUUUUCACGUAAACUUCGAACUUAGUACGAGGGUACCUGCGACACUAUGCAGUCUAUUGUAUUGUGUAUUAUUCAUCAAAUGCGUCUUAUAACAAUAAACAAGUAGAAUUUAUUGGACUUGAACUUUGAGACCCAAC
rnacentral:lncRNA from 1 species